GAAGUAUUAAGAAUUGAUCAUGCUUCUCUUGGUUUUAAAGAUAUACCAUAGGUACUACCAUUGUCCAACUGUGAAGAAGUAGGUAGGUGGCCAAUUUUAAAAGUGCAGAUCUUUGAAGACCAGGAUGUGUAAAUGUGAAUUGGAAAGUGGCAACAUAUACCUAGUUCAGACUUCAGAAAUUUAGUUAGACAUGAUUUAUGGAAAUUGGAUUCAUUAAUUUUUGGACAUUCAAAACUAUACCAUACUACUAUUGUCUGAUUGUGAAGAAGUAGGUAGCUAAUUUUAAUAGUGCAGAUCUUAGAAGACCAGGAUGUGUAGAUGUGAAUUGGGAAGCAAC